GGAAUAUUGGACAAUGGGCGAAAGCCUGAUCCAGCAAUGCCGCGUGAGUGAUGAAGGCCUUAGGGUUGUAAAGCUCUUUUACCCGGGAUGAUAAUGACAGUACCGGGAGAAUAAGCCCCGGCUAACUCCGUGCCAGCAGCCGCGGUAAUACGGAGGGGGCUAGCGUUGUUCGGAAUUACUGGGCGUACAGGGCGCGUAGGCGGUAUGUCAAGUCAGGGGUGAGAAGCCUGGGCUCAACCCAGGAAUUGCCUUUGAAACUGGCAAACUAGAGUCCGAAAGAGGAUGGCGGAAUUCCCAGUGUAGAGGUGAAAUUCGUAGAUAUUGGGAAGAACACCGGUGGCGAAGGCGGCCAUCUGGAUCGGCACUGACGCUGAGGCGCGAAAGCGUGGGGAGCAAA
rnacentral:rRNA from 1 species